rnacentral:rRNA from 1 species
UACGGGGGGGGUAAGCGUUGUUCGGAAUUACUGGGCGUAAAGGGCUCGUAGGCGGCCAACUAAGUCGGGUGUGAAAGCCCCGGGCUCAACCUGGGAACUGCAUUCGAUACUGAUCAGCUAGAGUAUGAGAGAGGGAGGUAGAAUUCCACGUGUAGCGGUGAAAUGCGUAGAUAUGUGGAGGAAUACCGGUGGCGAAGGCGGCCUCCUGGUUCAAUACUGACGCUGAGGAGCGAAAGCCAGGGGAGCAAACGGG